GGCUGACCAUGGAACUCACUGGCAUUAUAAUGGAUCAGGGAAGCCUGCUAUGCACCUGGCUAUAAAAGCCUUUGCAGAAGUCGCACUGUGUGCACGUGUGCAUUUAUACGUGGAAAUAUUUGCAUGUUUUGAAGGACUUGACAUUGCAUAGAUAUCAAGAGAAACUUUUUAUUCUCCAACUACAGUGCGGGUUGGAUCUUCAGAGGAUCCUAAGGGUCUAAUGUGCAUGGUAGAGCUACAGGAGCUGGCUCAAGUUUACAGAUACAGACAAUACAGGGUUGACUUGGGACCUUCAGGACUGAGAAGAAUCAAAGGACUAUCCUACUGUAAGGAUCAGAUCCUUCCCAGUGACCUUGACUUCAGUCAACUAUAGCACUUGUUGCAAAGAAAUUAAGAUUUUCCUGCCACCUUUCAGAUCAGCAGCUUGAUCUAAAGAGAGUCCAGUACUUCCUGCAACAGUUCAUUAUGUGAGAAUAAUGAAGAGAAGGAUCUAAUAGCACACAGAUCAAACUGCCUUUUGAGGUAUCAGGGCCCUGAGGUCAGAGCAUCACAUUGCCACAAUGGAUCCCAGGAGAAAGAAAAAGUGUGUUAUUUUGAAAGACAUAAAAAUUUGGAACGCUG
rnacentral:lncRNA from 1 species